GUCAGUCACAAGUAAAGAAGCCUCCUGGAGAAAAGUGUGGCCCAGAGCGACAGGAAGGGCUUUCUGUGUGGAGUUUGCAUUUCCUCCACAUAAGCUCGUGGGUUUCCUUCCCAGUUUCCUCCUCUUGUGCAGAGGUGAAUAAGACAAGUCGAGGGUCAGACAAGUUGUUGUCCUGGCUUGCGUCAUCUGGGACCUCCGGUACCGGCUGCUGCUGCAGUGAACAGGCGAGACUUCACAUACUGUUGUACAUUUGCCCUUUGGUCAACUGGUUGAAUUUUGGCCACAGGAAUGUUACCGGUUUGGGGAGUGGUGCGCAAAACCAGUGUGCAUGCUGUUGACGCACGGCUGCCAGCUGUGCAGUAUCGUUGGCAUUUUGGUGGCAAUGAUUCGUUCUUCCUAUGGCAGCACAAGAUGCAGAGUGGGAUAUUUGUUCCCCUCCAGUUCACGCUGAGCAUCAUAAAGGGCUCCAAGGGUUUGUCAGGCGGGCCGAACCCGUUGAGAACUCUAAUUCACAUGAUCAUAAUACUGAGGUUUGGAAGACGUGCAAUUCCGCUGCAAUUCUAAAAAGCUGAAAUAUGGCUCUUAUUAAGCACGCUGAAUAAGUGGAAGGUGACAUGUUAGCCCACACAAGAAAGUUAUGUUAAUGAAUCUAUAACUCACAGGUUCAAGUUGCUCCACUGUGACGUCAGCGUUUUUUUAACGCCGUUUUUUUACAUUUUACAUUUUUCAGAUUUAUUUAAGCACAAUUUCAUGAAACUGUAUGAUCAAACAAAGCGUAACUUUUAUAAAUGGGCAAAUCUUACAAUCUCCCUUGCGGGUGGAAUUAAUAUUGUGAGAAUGACUAUCUUACCAAAGUACUUUUUUCAGUGCAUUCCUGUUCUCAUUAAUAACGCCUUCUUUGCCAAACCAGACUCAGCCAUAUCUCAAUUUAUCUGGAAUAAAAAACCUCCAAGAAUUAAGAAAGCGUUUCUUUAAGUCU